rnacentral:tRNA from 3 species
UCCCCGGUAGCUCAGUUGGUAGAGCGGGUGGCUGUUAACCACUUAGUCGCUGGUUCGAGUCCGGCCCGGGGAGCCA